UACGUAGGGGGCGAGCGUUGUCCGGAUUUAUUGGGCGUAAAGAGCUCGUAGGCGGUUUGGUAAGUCGGGUGUGAAAUCUCCACGCUCAACGUGGAGGGGCCACUCGAUACUGCCAUGACUCGAGUCCGGUAGAGGAGUGUGGAAUUCCCGGUGUAGCGGUGAAAUGCGCAGAUAUCGGGAGGAACACCCGUAGCGAAGGCGGCACUUUGGGCCGGAACUGACGCUGAGGAGCGAAAGCGUGGGGAGCAAACAGG
rnacentral:rRNA from 1 species